UAUUAUAUAAAGGAGAAAUUUUUGCAACUUUAGGGUCAAACCAGUAAUUUAAGAAUUCAUUGUACUACAAUUGAAUUUGCUGCAUGAAUAUUUUAGUCAAAAUUCACAUUAUUUUCCAAAGAUUUGCAAUGACAUCUGUUUAUUCCUUUGGAAUCUCCAUCUUCAGAUGCCCACCAUUUCCACCACCACCCCCACCACUCCCUCUGAGCCUCUCCUCACCACUGCACCCUUCCUCCUCCUCUCAAACUCUCCACAACAACCUCACUCUGCCUCUGAACCUCACCAUUGCAUGAAGGUUUCAGCUCUCGCAGCAAGUGAAGAUUGAGUUGCAGUCGCAAGUUAAGGGUGAGCCGCCGUCUACAACCACCGUCGGGAUUCACCGUCACGAUUCGGGUUAGAUCUGUCCAUCCAAGACCUUUGUUUGCAGGUAUGAGAUGCUUGUUGAAGACAAAGAGGUGGGAAAGAACGGGAGAGAGGAAUAUGGGUUCUAGGUUGGUGAGAAAGGUAGGAUUUUGGGGUUUCUAGGUUUUUAUCUUUUCGAGAUUUUGGUUUGAAAUAGAAGAUUAUGAUGAUGAAGAUCAUGGUUGAUGAUUCUGUGAUGAAGAUGAAGAUCAUGACAUUAAGCAACAAGAACGAGGUGCUCACUUGAUUUCGUGUAUGCGUUUUGUUUGCUGAUUUCCACUAGUUUGUGUAUGCGUUUUAGAACCAAAACAACAUUAAGAUACUCACUUGAUUUUGUAAAGAAAAAAUUUGUGAGUCAGAUGAUAUUUGUUGAACACAACCAAUGAUCAACAUUUUUGUCUGUACGAUCUCCUUGUUACUUGUAGCAUGAUUCAAGUGUACACAUACAAAUUGGUUAUGGGUUAGAUUA